rnacentral:rRNA from 1 species
GCUGCAUGCUUUAUACAUGCAAGUCGAACGAAGGCCCUAGCUUGCUAGGUGUCCUUAGUGGCGCACGGGUGAGUAACACGUGGGAACAUACCUUAUAGUACGGAAUAACUGCGGGAAACUGUAGCUAAUACCGUAUAUUCCAGUAAUGGGAAAGAUUUAUCGCUAUAAGAUUGGCCCGCGCAAGAUUAGCUUGUUGGUGAGGUAAAAGCUCACCAAGGCUUCGAUCUUUAGCUGGUUUGAGAGGAUGAUCAGCCACACUGGGACUGAGACACGGCCCAGACUCCUACGGGAGGCAGCAGUAGGGAAUAUUGGACAAUGGGGGCAACCCUGAUCCAGCAAUGCAGCGUGAGUGACGAAGGCCUUAGGGUUGUAAAACUCUUUCAUCGGUGAGGAUAAUGACAGUAGCCGAAGAAGAAGGACCGGCUAAUUCCGUGCCAGCAGCCGCGGUAAUACGGAAGGUCCUAGCGUUGUUCGGAAUUACUGGGCGUAAAGCGCAUGUAGGCGGAACAGAAAGUUAGAAGUGAAAUCCCUGGGCUCAACCUAGGAAUUGCUUUUAAAACUUCUGUUCUGGAAUUCAGGAGAGGAAAAUGGAAUUUCCAGUGUAGAGGUGAAAUUCGUAGAUAUUGGAAGGAACACCAGUGGCGAAGGCGAUUUUCUGGACUGAUAUUGACGCUGAGAUGCGAAGGCAUGGGUAGCAAACGGGAUUAGAUACCCCGGUAGUCCAUGCAGUAAACGAUGGGUGCUAGUCGUCGGACUUUUGUUCGGUGUCGUAGCUAACGCGUUAAGCACCCCGCCUGGGGAGUACGGUCG